GAUGAAUAACGCAGCGAAAUGCGAUACUUGGUGUGAAUUGCAGAAUCCCGCGAAUCAUCGAGUUUUUGAACGCAAGUUGCGCCCGAAGCCAUUCGGCCGAGGGCACGUCUGCCUGGGUGUCACGCAUCGUUGCCCCCCCAAACUCCGGUUCGGGCGGGGCGGAAGUUGGCCUCCCGUGCGUGCCUGCGCGCGCGGUUAGCCCAAAAGCGAGUCCUCGGCGACGAGCGCCACGACAAUCGGUGGUUUUUUUACCCUCGUUCCUCGUCGUGCGUGUCCCGUCGCCCGAACGCGCUCUUGCGACCCUCACGCGUCGCCUCGGCGGCGCUCCCAACGCGACCCCAGGUCAGGCGGGACUACCCGCUGAGUUUAAGCAUAUCAAUAAGCGGAGGA
rnacentral:misc_RNA from 1 species